rnacentral:rRNA from 1 species
AGCGGCGAACGGGUGAGUAACACGUAGGUGAUCUGCCCAUCAGACGGGGACAACGAUUGGAAACGAUCGCUAAUACCGGAUAGGACGAAAGUUUAAAGGUGCUUCUGGCACCGCUGAUGGAUGAGCCUGCGGCGCAUUAGCUAGUUGGUAGGGUAAAGGCCUACCAAGGCGACGAUGCGUAGCCGACCUGAGAGGGUGAACGGCCACACUGGGACUGAGACACGGCCCAGACUCCUACGGGAGGCAGCAGUAGGGAAUCUUCGGCAAUGGGCGAAAGCCUGACCGAGCAACGCCGCGUGAAUGAUGAAGGCCUUCGGGUUGUAAAAUUCUGUUAUAAGGGAAGAACGACUUUAGUAGGAAAUGGCUAGAGUGUGACGGUACCUUAUGAGAAAGCCACGGCUAACUACGUGCCAGCAGCCGCGGUAAUACGUAGGUGGCGAGCGUUAUCCGGAAUUAUUGGGCGUAAAGAGCGCGCAGGUGGUUGAUUAAGUCUGAUGUGAAAGCCCACGGCUUAACCGUGGAGGGUCAUUGGAAACUGGUCGACUUGAGUGCAGAAGAGGGAAGUGGAAUUCCAUGUGUAGCGGUGAAAUGCGUAGAGAUAUGGAGGAACACCAGUGGCGAAGGCGGCUUCCUGGUCUGUAACUGACACUGAGGCGCGAAAGCGUGGGGAGCAAACAGGAUUGGAUACCCUGGUAGUCCACGCCGUAAACGAUGAGUGCUAAGUGU